rnacentral:lncRNA from 1 species
AAAAUGAAUUCACUUUUCCACGGCACCAGAGGACCAUUAGUAAAUUCAUUGCCCAGAAUACCCCGCUGGUGUCCUGGAGGAUGGAUUUGGUGUCACACGGUAACAUAGAUUAAUGACGAGGACAACAACAACAAUGGCAACAACUAUCAAAUCCUGGCACAGAGGAAGAUACUCCACGCACGUUGUGUCACUUAAUUUAGCAAAAACAGUGUGAGGCUGACUCAUAUAAGGUGGUACAGCUUCCUCCCCAUUCACUGGAACACUCACAUUGGGAGCCUGGGGAAGCCACGUAGGAAGUCUGACCAGCACGAGGCCGCCAUGCUGUGUGGAAACCCAAGUCACACUGUGAGGCUCUGCGUAGCUGCCCCGGUUAACCAUCCCAGCUGAGCUCAGCCUGAGUCACUCGCCUCCAGACACCAGACAUGGGAUUGUCGGUUCCAAGUGCUUCUUGCCGUCUUACAAAGGAAACCUGCUGAAUCAUCAGUGGUGGACAAAUACCGUGGCUGGAGCUGACGUUUGAUGGUGUUCCUGGUGGAGGAGGCCACUGUCCGUUCAACCUUUAGGCCUUCGUGGAGGGUCGCAGUGUUGUUGGAAAGAUUGGAUCAGCUCACAGCAUCCACAGGGCUCAGUGACCGUCUCAUUUAGACGUCCUCUUUGAAAACACAAGUGUCCUGUCAAGGAUUCCUACAACGCACUGAGAGCGCAUCAAUGAGCACUUCCCCGUCCCUGAAUGAUAAUUAAAGCAAAGAUUGACAGAAGGAAGUAUCGAGGGGCAAGGGAGAGAGGAUCUCGCAGGAAAUGGGUGAUCGCGCCAAAGACCUUGACUUCCUCACCUCCCAGCUUUGCCUGGGCUCAGGCCUUCAGGGGAAACUACGGUGUAUAGAGAGUUUUCUUUAUCUAAUCCCUUCUAAGGUACAGACUUUUCCCACAUUUAAAGAUCUCUGAUGUUUGAAUUCAUUUGACAGUUUAUGUCAUUUAUAAAUACAAUUGUUUCUUUGGCGUCUAGGAAAUAAGAGCACAUCUUGUAACCAAUGACAUCCCAGUUUUGAUGAAUACAGUAACACUUUUUAUAAGGACGACAGUUUCAGGAGUCUAGGGCCUGCCCUGGGAUCUCAUCACAGCUAUUGUCCAAAACAGUAGCCGCUCGCCCGCUGUGGGUUUUGAGCGCUUGAAAUGUGGCUGGUCCAAAUGGUGAUGUGGUGUAGUGCAAACGCUCGUCAGAUUCUGAAGAACUAGUGCAGAAAAAAGUAACAUUAAAACAGCUCACUAAUACUUUUUUCAUUCAUUAAAUGUUGAAAUGAUAAUAUUUGAGAUAUUGGGUUAAAUAAACUAUAUUAUUAAAACUGAUUUCAUCUGUUUCUUUUUACCUUUUUAAGGUGGGUACUAGAAACUUUCAGUUUCCGUAUGCAGCCUGCGUUACACUUCUGGACAGUGCUGUCACCGAAUGAGGAUCUCAGAGAUUGUCUAUUGUGACCACCCUGUAGAAACUGGAUGGACCUCAACCCAAAAUUUGGCUCAGAUGUUGAGACUGAUUAUGUCACAUAUCAAGAGGAGAUGAAAAGGUUUGUUAUUCAUGCAAUGAGGCUUUCGGGGGAGAGCAGAGUCCAUCCCAGGCAGGUCCAGAAAGAGCCUGAGGGAGCAGGGAAAGGAGAUUGGCUUGGGAUUUUUCUGGUGGUAGGGGGUGGGACAGGGUGAGGGUUCCCGCGUGCUGGCAGAGCGUGAGUGACUUGAACCUCCCUGAGGGCACACCUGGGCUUUGCCAGAGGUGGGGCAGAACAGGAAGAGGGAAGGGUGAGGUUAAAAGCUGUCAAUUCUAAAUGCUGACAAUAAAAGAUUCAGACUUGUACAUUAUCUAAUCCUGUGCCUUCAUUUUACCAAUGAGGACUCAGACACAGAAAGGGAAGGUGACUUGCCUGAGGUCACACAGCCAGCUUGUGGCAGCACUGGCACUGGAAUCCAGGCCUCUGGGGACCAGAGAUUUUUCCUCUCCCUCAUAGUGUCUCAUGGAAAGCCACCUUGGAGGACAAGAAGAUUCUUUCUCCAGGAGAUGGUCUUUGUGUUUUGUGGAUCUGCUGGGAAGGAGGAAAUGCUGAAAGCUGGCGGUCAGGUGCUGCCUGGGCCCCCAGGGACUCUGGCUCCUAGAGCAGCCCCAGGCCGACUUGGCUGAUGUUUGCUGACAAGCUGGCUCAGGAAAGUGACUUGAAAAGUAAAUACUAACUCAACACAAAAUGAAAAGGAAACGAAGAGUCUGAAAAAAAACCAAAAACACAAACAAAUCCGUGAGAAGAGAGUGGGCAUUGUGCGCUCCCUCUUUUUGACAUCAAAGUGUCUUUGAAUGGAGCCAGGAAGCUCUCACAUCUUUAAAUCCACGUUUACUUGAGGUUUGAAAACUUCCAAGAGAGGUUAGCAGUCCGGGGACAGAGGGCUCCCACUGCACCACAGGAGCAGAGCUUAAAUGCUUUACAAAGAAAAGGGAACACACUCGUUGGGGUUUGUUUUAAUCCUUCCAGGAGAGUGGUGUGGAGUGUACAGCAUGCAUUUGGAAGCCCGAGUACUUAAACACACAUCUGGGAAGGUUCAGAAUCUUCGCCUGGUUCUCGGUGUCUCUGAAGUGUUAGUAGUCCAGUGUCUUGUUUAUUGUGCCACACAAAAAUAAAUCUGAAUCUGUUUUGAUUUUUCUGAUUCUCUUCCACUCUGGAAGUAGAGCAGCCUUUUUGGUGGAAGUGACUUGCAUAAAGUCUCAAAUAAUUACCAAUUCCAGCUGACACUCGCUGGGACCCUGGAACUCGCUCCAUCUGCUGCCUUCCAGGAAGAACAAAGGAUGGAAGGAGUUGCUGGAGAACCAGAGAAAGAGCGCCUCCUAUAUUAUGGCCAACACAGAGAAUUCCAUAAAGAUUUGCAUGUGGAGUCAGCCCACAAUUGUCUGGCGAAUGGGAGAAGAUAGAUAUGAAAAGUAAUUUUACCAGACCAACUUAGACGGCAGUUCUGGGAUGCACCGGUGGAUUCUUGGUCCAGACGUGGAACCUGUUUUUUAAGUUCAAGAUGAGUUUAACCACAACCCAGGUGAGAUCGACGGGCAGCCAACAAAGGAUGGCUCAGCCCAUCCAAUCAAAAGACGUCAAAGCUAGACCAUGAGGAGGUCGAGGGAACUACUCCAAUAAAAGUUCAUGAAGGCCCUUGUCCAGUUUCCAGACUUGAGCCAGUUUUUGGACAGAACCUGUUGACUGAAGGAAAGGCAGAUUCUCCAGGACGAAGGAACUUGCAACACCACGCAGUCCCCUCCAGCAUCGACUCUGAGCUUGGGAAAAUGGAUGUGGGCAGGCAUGAUGCAAGCAAAGGCUGAGAAGAGUCUGCACGUGGUGGCUUGUCUUCUUGGAGUGCUUGCUCUGGGGAUCUGUUAGCCAUGGAAAGAAGCUCUAGGUAGCCACAUGAAGAGACGACACGGAAAGAGAGGCCCCAGCCUGCCAGCCCUCCCUGCUAAUGUGCCCACCACAUGAGCGAAGCUGUCUUGGACAUUCCUGCCAUCUGACUGCAUCUGCUUGAGAGACUCCAAGCAAGACCAGCAGAAGAACGAUCCAGUUCAGCCCUGUGAACCCACGCGUUGGUUCUAAGUAAUAAAAUGGUAGCUGUUUUAAUCCCCCACGUUUUGUGGUUAUUUGUUAUUCAGUAACAAGUAG